GACGAACGCUGGCGGCGUGCUUAACACAUGCAAGUCGAACGAGUGGCGAACGGGUGAGUAAUACGUGGUAACCUGCCCUCCUUUUUGGGAUAAGCCUUGGAAACGGGGUCUAAUACCGGAUAAUGGAGGAUGGGCUCGCGGCCUAUCAGCUUGUUGGUGGGGUAAAGGCCUACCAAGGCGACGAUCCGUAACUGGUCUGAGAGGAUGAUCAGCCACACUGGGACUGAGACACGGCCCAGACUCCUACGUGAGGCAGCAGUGGGGAAUAUUGCACAAUGGGCGCAAGCCUGAUGCAGCCAUGCCGCGUGUAUGAAGAAGGCCUUAGGGUUGUAAAGUACUUUCAGCGGGGAGGCGUUACCCGCAGAAGAAGCACCGGCUAACUCCGUGCCAGCAGCCGCGGUAAUUC
rnacentral:rRNA from 1 species